rnacentral:sRNA from 12 species
UGCCUAACCCUCUUGAAUUAAAAAUUUAGAGAUAUGGCAUAAAAUCCCAUCCCUGAUACUGAGCUCUUCGUUCAGCUACUCAGGGAUGGGUCGUAUAGGGAAACUUGUAUGGAUGGCCGAAAGGUCGUC